CACUCCUACGGGAGGCAGCAGUGGGGAAUUUUGGACAAUGGGCGAAAGCCUGAUCCAGCAAUGCCGCGUGAGUGAAGAAGGCCUUCGGGUUGUAAAGCUCUUUUGUCAGGGAAGAAACGGUGAAAGCUAAUAUCUUUUGCUAAUGACGGUACCUGAAGAAUAAGCACCGGCUAACUACGUGCCAGCAGCCGCGGUAAUACGUAGGGUGCAAGCGUUAAUCGGAAUUACUGGGCGUAAAGCGUGCGCAGGCGGUUUUGUAAGUCUGAUGUGAAAUCCCCGGGCUCAACCUGGGAAUUGCAUUGGAGACUGCAAGGCUAGAAUCUGGCAGAGGGGGGUAGAAUUCCACGUGUAGCAGUGAAAUGCGUAGAUAUGUGGAGGAACACCGAUGGCGAAGGCAGCCCCCUGGGUCAAGAUUGACGCUCAUGCACGAAAGCGUGGGGAGCAAACAGGAUUAGAUACCCGGGUAGUCCCAUG
rnacentral:rRNA from 1 species